rnacentral:rRNA from 1 species
GACGAACGCUGGCGGCGUGCCUAAUACAUGCAAGUAGAACGCUGAAGAGAGGAGCUUACUCUUCUUGGAUGAGUUGCGAACAGGUGAGUAACGCGUAGGUAACCUGCCUUGUAGCGGGGGAUAACUAUUGGAAACGAUAGCUAAUACCGCAUAACAAUGGAUGACACAUGUCAUUUAUUUGAAAGGGGCAAUUGCUCCACUACAAGAUGGACCUGCGUUGUAUUAGCUAGUAGGUGAGGUAAUGGCUCACCUAGGCGACGAUACAUAGCCGACCUGAGAGGGUGAUCGGCCACACUGGGACGGAGACACGGCCCAGACUCCUACGGGAGGCAGCAGUAGGGAAUCUUCGGCAAUGGGGGCAACCCUGACCGAGCAACGCCGCGUGAGUGAAGAAGGUUUUCGGAUCGUAAAGCUCUGUUGUAAGUCAAGAACGGGUGUGAGAGUGGAAAGUUCACACUGUGACGGUAGCUUACCAGAAAGGGACGGCUAACUACGUG